rnacentral:rRNA from 1 species
GACGAACGCUGGCGGCGUGCCUAAUACAUGCAAGUCGAACGCAGUUUCGAACGGGUGAGUAAAGCGUAUGUAACUCCCUCCUACAGGGGGAUAACUAUUGUAAACAAUAGCUCAUAUCGCAUACUGUAAGCUGUCCCUGCGUGGUAUUAGCUCGUUUGUGUGGUAAAGGCCCACCAAGGCGACGAUACAUAGCCGACCUGAGAGGGUGAUCGGCCACACUGGGACUGAGACACGGCCCAGACUCCUACGGGAGGCAGCAGUAGGGAAUCUUCGGCAAUGGACGAAAGUCUGACCGAGCAACGCCGCGUGAGUGAUGAAGGUUUUCGGAUCGUAAAGCUCUGUUGUUAGGGACGCGGUAACGAACUAGAAAGGGACGGCUAACUACGUGCCAGCCGCCGCGGUAAUUC